rnacentral:rRNA from 1 species
GACGGAGGAUGCAAGUGUUAUCCGGAAUCACUGGGCGUAAAGCGUCUGUAGGUGGUUUAAUAAGUCAACUGUUAAAUCUUGAGGCUCAACCUCAAAAUCGCAGUCGAAACUAUUAGGCUAGAGUAUAGUAGGGGUAAAGGGAAUUUCCAGUGGAGCGGUGAAAUGCGUAGAGAUUGGAAAGAACACCGAUGGCGAAGGCGACUUACUGGGCUAUUACUAACACUCAGAGACGAAAGCGAGGGUAGCAAAUGGG